AGGUCAAUGAUGAGAAUUAAUAUUGUCUUGAAGAGACAUGAUGACUUAAAAAAAAUUAUACUGUAACUU